AGAAGCCUUUCUCUUUAUUUCAUUUAUAGCAUGCUUCCUUGAAGUGGGAGAGAAUCUAUUUACAUAUAUCACCUGCAUAGCUCUGAUAAUGGUUCCGACGAAAGGCAUGGAAUCAUGGGACUCAGAGGCAACAAUUGUUGGAAAUAAUUCAUAGAAAAAGAAGAUAGGGUCUAUGUACGAUACAUGAUUAGAUACAACAACAGGAGCUAUCUCCCUUGGUGCGGGUUUUCCUUUUCGUCUUAUCCAUUGGUACCCGAAAGAGAAGAGGAUAGUUCGUGCACUCAUGCGGGUAAUACACAUCAAUCUAGUCCUCCACUUAGGCAUAGGACUGCUUCUAUCUUUCCAUCCUAGCAAAGCAGUCCGUGUAGCCAGAUAACCAACCAUCAAAGCCAACCCAAAAAGCACCAACCUGACCAAGGUAAUCGGCAAACACACGACAAUCUUUAACCAUUCAUAGACCCCUUCAACUGUAGGUGUAUUAUUCCUAAACGGGUCAACUGUGGUGGAUCCGGGCAUGUCGAACCUAUUCGCUCCAAGAAACGCAUAUGGGUUAUCAUCCACCUCCGAAAUAUGGGUACCCAUAUGAUCUCCGUUUGAUAAUUGAUGCUGUACCCCAUCGUGUUCGACGGUGAGAAUAACGUGCGGCUCAGGCGCGUGUUCUUGAUCGUCUCUGUCGGAUUUAGGUGGGAGGUGAUCGGAAGGUAAAAGAGGAGCAAACAUAGAUUGGUCCGACAUUGCCGGGAAAAGAUCGCCGGUGGCCGGAAGCUGGGGGAGUAGUAGUAGUGAGAAGAGGGGGAAAAAAAGAGAAUAAAGAAUGGGAGGGAAAAGGGACGGUGAGAGAGAAU
rnacentral:misc_RNA from 1 species